UGGAUCGAUGAUGAUCUAUGCCAGCGUAUGAGGCAUCGAUGAUGAAUAAUGUGUGUCUGGAACUCUGAGGUCCAC
ensembl:snoRNA